rnacentral:rRNA from 1 species
AUGAACGCUGGCGGCGUGCCUAAUACAUGCAAGUCGAGCGAACAGACGAGGAGCUUGCUCCUCUGACGUUAGCGGCGGACGGGUGAGUAACACGUGGAUAACCUACCUAUAAGACUGGGAUAACUUCGGGAAACCGGAGCUAAUACCGGAUAAUAUAUUGAACCGCAUGGUUCAAUAGUGAAAGACGGUUUUCUGUCACUUAUAGAUGGAUCCGCGCCGCAUUAGCUAGUUGGUAAGGUAACGGCUUACCAAGGCAACGAUGCGUAGCCGACCUGAGAGGGUGAUCGGCCACACUGGAACUGAGACACGGUCCAGACUCCUACGGGAGGCAGCAGUAGGGAAUCUUCCGCAAUGGGCGAAAGCCUGACGGAGCAACGCCGCGUGAGUGAUGAAGGUCUUCGGAUCGUAAAACUCUGUUAUUAGGGAAGAACAAAUGUGUAAGUAACUAUGCACGUCUUGACGGUACCUAAUCAGAAAGCCACGGCUAACUACGUG